GAGGCGCGGAGGCUGACAGACAGCCUGGGAGCGGUGGCGGGGACUCCACCACACAAAGGCUGCUCCGUUGUCCUGACCGCCACAGCCGAUACUUGCUGAGCACCUAAUUUGUUCCAGGCACUGAUCAAAAGGUGUGUGUGAAGUGGUACAAAAAGUUAUGAACAUUCCUAUGAGGCAGUAGAAGAUCCUUGUCAUCUGAUGGCAAAACUGCUAAAGAAGUAAAGAGCGGCAACAACAGCAAUAACAACAACUACAGUCGGGGGCCAAACUGCCAGAAACCAAGGAUGAGAAAGACUACCCCUCCUUGCCCAGUCCUCUGCUGUGCCGCUGGGUUUUCUCUGGCAGGAAUGCUUCACGUAUUUCCUCAGGAGCUGCAGAGCUGGGA